UUAUUUUGGAAAAAGAUUCAGUAAGGCAAAAUGUCACAGUAAAGGGAAUAGAAUCAAUCAAUUCUAAAUAGGUGAGUGAAAUUAGGGUUCAUAAAAGAUAAGCUUUGAAAUCAGUGACACGAUUAGGUUCAGUCAAAGAAGAAACAUGCUUCUGCACUUUAGUAUAUAAACAGAGUGAACAGAAGACAUCAGACAUACGAGGCCAAGUACACUGGAAAAAGAGAUAAUCACAAGCAUGUAGUAGUGGCAUAAAUAAGAUAUGGUUCAGUAGUAAAGCAAACAUUAGAAGCAUAAUAAUCAAGUAGGUCAAGUCACAUUGAAUCAAUAGUGAAGAAAACAUGGUAUCUAAAACAUGCAAAGGUCUCAGAGUAGCAGGUGAAGAAACCUUUUUGAAAAGUUAGGGGCAACCAUAAUCGAGUUGAAAGAUAGUAAAAAUUAGAUAAGUCACAAGAAAAGAGAGUCUGAAACAAGAAUAUUUAAUCAAGUAUUCAAAUAAACAAUCGAGUUCAAAAGAUAGUAAACAGAUAAGUCAAGCAAGAAUUUAAACAAACAAGCACACAUCUAACAAAUAGCUCCAGAACUCGAUUGAGACCCAAAAGAAAUUAGGGUUUUAACAUGCUGACUCAAGUAGAAGGAAAGCAUAGCAAACAAUUUUAACAUAGUAAAGUCAUAAAACAACAUCAAAAAUCAGGGAAGAGAUUUUUAAAAUAACUUAAAGGAAAAUCCUAAUUAGAACAAUGAAGAGUUGUUUUGAAAGCAACAUGAAGAACCUUCGAGAAAAAUGCUUAAAUGUUCAUGGUAAGCAUAGAUCUAAGGUAGAUAUGAAAGCUAUCGAAAUAUAUUAGAGAUUAGGGUUUCAGAAAACCCAAAAGAAAUGAGAAAGAUCUCGAAAGUUAACGAUUUAACCAGAAAAGGUCAAUGGCCCGUCUCGAAAGGCCAUGAAUGGCCAAAAAAGGUCGUGGCUGGCCGGAGAAAGGCCAUGAACACAAGUCAAGCAAGGACUGGACCAAACUCUUUCGAAGUCUGGUGAUGAAACCAUAGAACCAAGUACAUAGAAGCCAUGGAAAGCUGGUAAAGGUCUCAAAUGACCAUGGAAGGCCAUGCAUUAGGUAGGUAUUAUGGUGUAUUUGGGUAUAGUUUGAUGACAAUGGCUAGGGUUUGUAGGGGUUUCAGAGAGAGUUGAGAGAGAAGAGGGACUCAAGGGUG
rnacentral:lncRNA from 1 species